rnacentral:rRNA from 1 species
UACGAAGGGUGCAAGCGUUACUCGGAAUUACUGGGCGUAAAGCGUGCGUAGGUGGUUUGUUAAGUCUGAUGUGAAAGCCCUGGGCUCAACCUGGGAAUUGCAUUGGAUACUGGCAGGCUAGAGUGCGGUAGAGGAUGGCGGAAUUCCCGGUGUAGCAGUGAAAUGCGUAGAGAUCGGGAGGAACAUCUGUGGCGAAGGCGGCCAUCUGGACCAGCACUGACGCUGAGGAGCGAAAGCCAGGGGAGCAAAGCGGGG